GCGACCCGGUAGCUCACGAUAGAGCGAUCUGACUACGGAGUCAGAAGGUUGGGGGUUCGAAUCCCUCCGGGCGCACAA
rnacentral:tRNA from 1 species